CCUACGGGAGGCAGCAGUAGGGAAUCUUCCACAAUGGGCGAAAGCCUGAUGGAGCAACGCCGCGUGGGUGAAGAAGGUCUUCGGAUCGUAAAACCCUGUUGGUAGAGAAGAAAGUGCGUGAGAGUAACUGUUCACGUUUCGACGGGAUCUAACCAGAAAGCCACGGCUCACUACGUGCCAGCAGCCGCGGUAAUACGUAGGUGGCAAGCGUUAUCCGGAUUUAUUGGGCGUGAAGGGAACGCAGGCGGUCUUUUAAGUCUGAUGUGAAAGGCUUCGGCUUAACCGGAGUAGUGCAUUGGAAACGGGGAGACUUGAGUGCAGAAGAGGAAGGUGGAACUCCAUGUGUAGCGGUGAAAUGCGUAGAUAUAUGGAAGAACACCAGUGGCGAAAGCGGCUCUCUGGUCUGUAACUGACGCUGAGGUUCGAAAGCGUGGGUAGCAAACAGGAUUAGAUACCCGUGUAGUC
rnacentral:rRNA from 1 species